rnacentral:rRNA from 1 species
UACGUAGGGGGGCUAGCGUUGUCCGGAUUUAUUGGGCGUAAAGAGCGUGUAGGCGGCCAUGUAGGUCCGGUGUGAAAAACUCGAGGCUUAACCUCGAGAUGUCAUCGGAAACCAUUUGGCUAGAGUCCGGAAGAGGAGAGUGGAAUUCCUGGUGUAGCGGUGAAAUGCGCAGAUAUCAGGAAGAACACCAAUGGCGAAAAGCAGCUCUCUGGGACGGUACUGACGCUGAGACGCGAAAAGCGUGGGGGAGCGAACAGG